rnacentral:rRNA from 1 species
GGGUUGUGAGGUUAAGCGACUAAGCGUACACGGUGGAUGCCCUGGCAGUCAGAGGCGAUGAAGGACGUGCUAAUCUGCGAUAAGCGUCGGUGAGGUGAUAUGAACCGUUAUAACCGGCGAUUUCCGAAUGGGGAAACCCAGUGUGUUUCGACACACUAUCAUUAACUGAAUCCAUAGGUUAAUGAGGCGAACCGGGGGAACUGAAACAUCUAAGUACCCCGAGGAAAAGAAAUCAACCGAGAUUCCCCCAGUAGCGGCGAGCGAACGGGGAGGAGCCCAGAGCCUGAAUCAGUGUGUGUGUUAGUGGAAGCGUCUGGAAAGGCGUGCGAUACAGGGUGACAGCCCCGUACACAAAAAUGCACAUAUUGUGAGCUCGAUGAGUAGGGCGGGACACGUGGUAUCCUGUCUGAAUAUGGGGGGACCAUCCUCCAAGGCUAAAUACUCCUGACUGACCGAUAGUGAACCAGUACCGUGAGGGAAAGGCGAAAAGAACCCCGGCGAGGGGAGUGAAAAAGAACCUGAAACCGUGUACGUACAAGCAGUGGGAGCCUCUUAAUGGGGUGACUGCGUACCUUUUGUAUAAUGGGUCAGCGACUUAUAUUCUGUAGCAAGGUUAACCGAAUAGGGGAGCCGAAGGGAAACCGAGUCUUAACUGGGCGUUAAGUUGCAGGGUAUAGACCCGAAACCCGGUGAUCUAGCCAUGGGCAGGUUGAAGGUUGGGUAACACUAACUGGAGGACCGAACCGACUAAUGUUGAAAAAUUAGCGGAUGACUUGUGGCUGGGGGUGAAAGGCCAAUCAAACCGGGAGAUAGCUGGUUCUCCCCGAAAGCUAUUUAGGUAGCGCCUCGUGAAUUCAUCUCCGGGGGUAGAGCACUGUUUCGGCAAGGGGGUCAUCCCGACUUACCAACCCGAUGCAAACUGCGAAUACCGGAGAAUGUUAUCACGGGAGACACACGGCGGGUGCUAACGUCCGUCGUGAAGAGGGAAACAACCCAGACCGCCAGCUAAGGUCCCAAAGUCAUGGUUAAGUGGGAAACGAUGUGGGAAGGCCCAGACAGCCAGGAUGUUGGCUUAGAAGCAGCCAUCAUUUAAAGAAAGCGUAAUAGCUCACUGGUCGAGUCGGCCUGCGCGGAAGAUGUAACGGGGCUAAACCAUGCACCGAAGCUGCGGCAGCGACACUAUGUGUUGUUGGGUAGGGGAGCGUUCUGUAAGCCUGUGAAGGUGGCCUGUGAGGGUUGCUGGAGGUAUCAGAAGUGCGAAUGCUGACAUAAGUAACGAUAAAGCGGGUGAAAAGCCCGCUCGCCGGAAGACCAAGGGUUCCUGUCCAACGUUAAUCGGGGCAGGGUGAGUCGACCCCUAAGGCGAGGCCGAAAGGCGUAGUCGAUGGGAAACAGGUUAAUAUUCCUGUACUUGGUGUUACUGCGAAGGGGGGACGGAGAAGGCUAUGUUGGCCGGGCGACGGUUGUCCCGGUUUAAGCGUGUAGGCUGGUUUUCCAGGCAAAUCCGGAAAACCAAGGCUGAGGCGUGAUGACGAGGCACUACGGUGCUGAAGCGA